AAGACCUUGCGCUUUUGGAGCGGCCGAUGCCUGAUUAGCUAGUUGGUGGGGUAAUGGCCUACCAAAGCUUCAAUCAGUAGCUGGUCUGAGAGGACGGCCAGCCACACUGGGACUGAGACACGGCCCAGACUCCUACGGGAGGCAGCAGUGGGGAAUUUUGGACAAUGGGCGCAAGCCUGAUCCAGCCAUGCCGCGUGAGUGAAGAAGGCCUUCGGGUUGUAAAGCUCCUUCAGCCGGGAAGAAAGGGUUGCGAUUAAUAAUCGCAAUUUAUGACGGUACCGGAAGAAGAAGCACCGGCUAACUACGUGCCAGCAGCCGCGGUAAUACGUAGGGUGCGAGCGUUAAUCGGAAUUACUGGGCGUAAAGGGUGCGCAGGCGGUUUUGUAAGUCAGAUGUGAAAUCCCCGGGCUUAACCUGGGAACU
rnacentral:rRNA from 1 species